ensembl:misc_RNA
UUGACUCCCUUGGAGACUGAAGGCCUUUUAUUUAUCCACAGGAUAGGUACAGCCUGGGCAACAACAAUGCAAGCUUCCCCGCACUGUCCUGUCAUCAUCCCUCGACUCUGUCUUGGAGGGUUUCCUCCCAAGAUGAGAGGGAGGGUACUUACAGUGUGCCAUUCUAGUCAAUGGGAGUUGAGU